AGCGAACGCUGGCGGCAGGCCUAACACAUGCCAGUCGAACGAACCUUUCGGGGUUAGUGGCGGACGGGUGAGUAACACGUGGGAACGUGCCUUUAGGUUCGGAAUAACUCAGGGAAACUUGUGCUAAUACCGAAUGUGCCCUUCGGGGGAAAGAUUAAUCGCCUUUAGAGCGGCCCGCGUCUGAUUAGCUAGUUGGUUGAGGUAAUGGCUCACCAAGGCGACGAUCAGUAGCUGGUCUGAGAGGAUGAUCAGCCACAUUGGGACUGAGACACGGCCCAAAGCCGGAGGGGAGGCAGGGGGGGGGAAUCGCGGUAAAGGGGCGAACGCGUGACGCAACAGGGCCGCGGGAAUGAUGAAGGUCUUAUGAUGGUAAAAUUCUUUCGCCGGGAAUAAUAAUGGCGGGAGCGGGAGAAGAACCCCCGGCUAGCCUCGGGCCAGGAGCCGGUGUUAUGUCGCAGGACAACGCGCCUACC
rnacentral:rRNA from 1 species